rnacentral:rRNA from 1 species
GACGAACGCUGGCGGCGUGCUUAACACAUGCAAGUCGAACGGAAAGGCCCUGCUUUUGUGGGGUGCUCGAGUGGCGAACGGGUGAGUAACACGUGGAUAACCUACCUAUAAGACUGGGAUAACUUCGGGAAACCGGAGCUAAUACCGGAUAACAUGUUGAACCGCAUGGUUCAACAGUGAAAGACGGUCUUGCUGUCACUUAUAGAUGGAUCCGCGCCGCAUUAGCUAGUUGGUAAGGUAACGGCUUACCAAGGCAACGAUGCGUAGCCGACCUGAGAGGGUGAUCGGCCACACUGGAACUGAGACACGGUCCAGACGCCUACGGGAGGCAGCAGUAGGGAAUCUUCCGCAAUGGGCGAAAGCCUGACGGAGCAACGCCGCGUGAGUGAAGAAGGUCUUCGGAUCGUAAAACUCUGUUAUUAGGGAAGAACAAAUGUGUAAGUAACGAUGCACGUCUUGACGGUACCUAAGCAGAAAGCCACGGCUAACUACGU